UUUGAUGGACUUACUCAAUUAGCGUUCUUUUGUUUUGCUAGUUAUUAUCGUACUAUAAAUAAUGUAUUUAUAUUUAAGUAAUGAAUAUUGUUGAAUGUAACAAAUUAUUUACAGGAUCAUAACACAAAUUGUGGAGAUCGUAUGUCGUGAAGUAUUGGUCUUUACGAUCUUCUACUCUAGAAUGUGACUGGCAGAAGAAAACGUAAACGUGCAGUUUUCCAUUAGAAAUACAGAACAUAGUAAAGCGAGAAUUUUUAACGACAUGGCAAUGUCUUGAGUGCACAAAGGGUUAAUAAAAUUAGAAUGGAGCAUGAAAACUUGGGAUACCAUGUGUUACGAAACAUUGUUUUUUUUUCACAUUUCAAAGUAGCAGAUCCUGUACUUCUAAGGAAAGCGUGAAGCUGCCUUUUGUGCAUUGGAAACGGAGACAAUGUGUUACUGUUAAAGAAAGGAUUUAUGACUUGAAUUGAUUGGUUAACAAUUGAGAGAGAUUGGAACUGGCACCCUUUGCUCACUAAAAAGAUAAGUUAUCCCCUUUGGUGUUUUAGCUGUUAACUUUUUAUCUUGGAGAUUCUUGUAGUUAAUUAAGGAACAUUAGAAGAACUCUGGAUACCGUUAAUUUAUGGAAUUAUGGAACAUUGGUUGUAUUAGUCCUCAUUUGCCCCAGACAGUAGCUAUACUCAUGGUCCUAAAGAAUUCAUGAAAGUGCCUUUUUCCUGGAGUUUGUUCUUGAUUUGCUGUUUUCGUCUCCACCUUGCAACAUUAUGCAGUUAAUUCUCAACAGAUGAGAGAGCAACUAGAGAUGAUGUAUUGAAACGACAAAUUUGCUGCUAUGGUAUUCCUCUUGGAUUUGAUUUGCUUUCCACACCUGCAAACUUUGGAACGUCACAAUUUACAGUUAAUUAAGAUUUUCUAUCAAGUGAAAAAGAAUUAAACAUCAGUUUGGUCAUGCUGAAACAACUGAUGUCUACAUGGGUAGCGUUUUCCUGGACUUUAUUGUUGAUUUGCUGUUUUUGUCUUCACCUUCCAACAUUAUGCAGUUCUCAAUGGAGGAGUGAGAGCAACUUGAGAUUUAUUUGAACUCUACUAAAACGAUAAAUUUUCUGCUUUGGUAUUCGUCCUGAAUUUGAUUCUGCAGUUAAUUAAGAUUUUCCAACAAGUGAAAGAGAGUUAAAGAUCUGUUUGGUCAUUCUGAAAUAACCGAUGUAUACACGUGGGUGGCGUUUUCCUGGACUUCAUUGUUAAUUUGCUGUUUUCGUCUUCACCUUCCAGCAUUAUGCAGUUAAUUCUCAACGGAGCAGUGAGAGGAACAGGAGAUUUAUUAGAACUCUACAGAAAUGGCAAAUUUGCUGCUAUGAUAUUCCUCUUGGAUUUGAUUUGCUUUUCACACCUGCCAACAUUGGAAUGUUACAAUUUACAGUUAAUUAAGUUGUUAACCUUUCAUCUUGGAGGCUCUUGUAGUUAAUUAAGGAACAUUAGAAGAACUCCGGAUACCAUUAAAUUAUGAAAUUAUGGAGCAUUGGUUGUAUUAGUCCUCAUUUGUCCUGCAAAGUAGCUGUGCCCAUGGUUCUAAAGAAAGCAUGAAAGUGCCUUUUUUUAUUGGGAACGAAGACAGUAUGCUGAAAAAGGAUUUGUGACAAGGAACUGAAAUGGCAGAAGGAGAGUCAAUAUGGAACAGAUCUUUCCAUUAGUGUGCAUGUUACUGAUUUAUUCGAUUUAAAAAUGGUAAAUAAUUACUUUUUCUUGCCUGUUUCUAUAUAGAUUGUUGUCCCACAAAUGAAAAGGAAUUGCAGCUAAUUUUGGUGCUACUAAAACAACUGAUGCUUUUGACGUCUUCACCUUGCAACAUUAUGCAGUUAAUUUUUGCAGUAACAAAGGGAGGCAAUUGGAAAUUAAUUAAUUUGGAUGCAACUGGAACAAAUUAUCUGCAGUGGUAUCCCUCCUAGAUUUGGUUGGUUUGCUCAUCACACUGAUAGACUUUAGAACGCCACUUUCUACAAUUAAUUAAGAGUAAAUUGGUAUUUAUCAUUGAUGUAUCUAUGGAGUUUAUCUAUCUAUGGAUUUUCUUUUUAACCUUUUUCUGUUGUCUAUGUCGUAUUAUUUGACGUUAAUCUAUGGUUGUGAUGUAAAAUGGUGUAAAAUUAUUGUUUGUUUAUUUUAUAAUUCAGCUGUUUUACUUGC
rnacentral:lncRNA from 1 species